UUUUUUUUUGUGUUUUUUAG
rnacentral:sRNA from 1 species